CAUGUGCAUGUCUCUGUUCUAGCUCCAAGGUGAAUCUUCACUGCUCAUGUUCUCCUCAGAAGCACUCACCUCACUCCCCUCAGGUUACUGUACACAUGCACCAACUGCCUGCUUCAGGUUUGGAUGGAGCUUCAUGGUUGUCUUUUGGAGAAAUGACCAGUCAAGUUGUGUUUGAAAUUUGAUUUUUUUCAGGGGCAAAAGGAGCCUCUGCAUUCUUGUCAAAUAUGUAAAUAGCAUGUUUUUGCAGGUGCUAAAAAACAGACUCUGAGUGUGUGUGUGUGUCUGUGUGUGUGUGUGUGUGUGUGUGUGUGUGUGUGUGUAUGUUGGCGUGUGUGUAUAUGUGUGUGUAUCCUGCAGUAAUCUGUACUCCUGCAGUGGCCAAAAAGACUUUUAAGAAUGUGGAUUUUUGGGUCAUCUUUGGCGCCCCCUAGAACUGCAGUACUCUGUACUCCUGCAGUGGCCAAAAUGACUUUUAAGAAUGUGGAUUUUUGGGUCAUCUUUGGCGCCCCCUAGAACGUAAACCGUGGGGUGCAGCGUCAUGAUUUUUACAACUUUGAAUGGGCAUGGGGUGUAGAUUGCCCUGAGCAAAUUUGGUAUCGGUGGGACGAAAGCCUUAGGAGGAGAUAGCCACAUUCCAAUGUGUGCGAAUCGGCAAAAAAUGCAAAAUAGCCCUUUAACCGUACAUUAUACAGAUACGCGCUCUUUGACUUUUUCGUAGAUCUAAUUGAGAUACACAUGAUUGUCAAUUUUUGUGUCAUUUUGACAAAGCGUUCAGGCGUGACACUCAACAAUGUGUAUUUUUAUGUAAGGGGACAAGAAAAAAUUGACUUUUUUCUCCUACCAUGGGGGGCGCUCUUUUGGGGAGUAAAAAUUCCUUCACAAAUGUGUUGAUGGCUGGACAUUGCAUCAUCCUAGAAAACUUGGAGGCCAGUGAGGACAAAAAUAAAAAGUUAUAAAACAUUUAAGAAUGUGGAUUUUUGGGUUAUUUUUGGCGCCCCCUAGAACCUAAACCAUGGGGUGCAGCAUCAUGAUUUGAAUAACUUUUAAUGGCCAUGGGGUGUAGAUUGGCCUGAGCAAAUGUGGUGCCGGUGGAACGAAAGCCUUCGGAGGAGUUAGCGAAAUUCCAAUGUGUGCGGAUCGGCAAAAAAUGCGGAAUAACCCUUUAACCGUACAUUUGACAGAUACGCGCGCAUUGACUUUUUCGUAGAUCUUAUUGAGAUACAUGUGUGUGUCAAUUUUUGUGUCAUUUUGCCAAAGCGUACAGGUGUUACACUCAACAAUGUGUAUUUUCACCUUAGGGGACAAGAAAAAAUGGACUUUUUUCUCCUGCCAUGGGGGGGCGCUCUUUUGGGGAGUAAAAAUUCCUUCACAAAUGUGUUGAUGGCUGGACAUUGCAUCAUCCUAGAAAACUUGGAGGCCAGUGAGGGCAAAAAUAAAAAGUUAUAAGACUUUUAAAUAUGUGGAUCUUAGGGUUAUCUUUGGCGCCCCCUAGAACCUAAACCGUGGGGUGCAGCGUCAUGAUUUGAAUAACUUUUAAUGGCCAUGGGGUGUAGAUUGGCCUGAGCAAAUGUGGUGCCGGUGGAACGAAAGCCUUCGGAGGAGUUAGCGAAAUUCCAAUGUGUGCGGAUCGGCAAAAAAUGCGAAAUAACCCUUUAACCGUACAUUUGACAGAUACGCCCGCACUGACUUUUUUGUAGAUCUUAUUGAGAUACAUGUGUGUGUCAAUUUUUGUGUCAUUUUGACAAAGCGUACAGGCGUGACAGUGAAUAGUGUGAAUUUUCACCUUAGGGGGCGCUAUGGAGCCAUUUUGCAUUUUCUUGUUUGGGCGACUUCGGAAUAUCACAUUUUUCACCAGGCCCGGUCGUCCUGCCAAAUUUCAUGAGUUUUCGCCAGUGGGAAGUGGGCCAUUUUCCAGUUCAAAGGGGAGGAAAAAUAAUAAUAAUAACAAAAGAAGGAAACUACAGGAACAAGAGGGCUCUCGCAGCUGCUUAGCAGCUACGCUCGGGCCCUAAAGAAAGAAAGAAAGAAAGAAACAAAGAAAAACCACUUGGGGAAUAAUAGGGCUCUCGCAGCUGCUUAGCAGCUACGCUCGGGCCCUAACUAGGGCCCCGUUGGGGCACUGGCGGGCCCGAGCCGUGUCACGCCGCCCCCAGCGCGACCGCCUCCCCCACCCGAUCGCGUCACACUCAAGGUCCAAAGAUGGUGUGCGCACUUGUUUGUGGUCAUUUACCAUUAUAAUGAACGGGAGGCGCAGUUUCUACCAAAACGCUCGCUGCAGAAAAACUCCAUGUCCUAUUUGAAAAAAGUCUGGACCAUGAGUGAGGGCACAAACACAGCUAAGAUAUAUCCAAAUGGCAAGUUGCUCCUCCUUUCGCUUUUGCCGAGAGAGCAGUGAUUUGAGCCAUUGAAUGAUGAACAGGAAAAACUUGACUUUAUUCUCCUGCCAUGGGGGGGCGCUCUUUUAAAGAGAAAAAACUCCUUCACAAAUGUGUUGAUGGCUGGACAUUGCAUCAUCCUAGAAAACAUGGAGGCCAGUGAGGACAAAAAUAAAAAGUUAUAAGACUUUUAAAUAUGUGGAUUUUAGGGUUAUAUUUGGCGCCCCCUAGAACCUAAACCGUGGGGUGCAGCGUCAUGAUUUGAAUAACUUUUAAUGGCCAUGGGGUGUAGAUUGGCCUGAGCAAAUGUGGUGCCGGUGGAACGAAAGCCUUCGGAGGAAUUAGCGAAAUUCCAAUGUGUGCGAAUCUGCAAAAAAUGCGAAAUAACCCUUUAACUGUACAUUUUACAGAUACGUGGCCAUUGACUUUUUCGAAGAUCUUAUUGAAAUACACGUGUAUGUAAAAUUUUGUGUCAAUACGACAAAACAUACAGGCGUAGCACUCAACAAUGUGUAUUUUCACCUUAGUGGACAAGAAAAAAUUGACUUUUUUCUCCUGCCAUGGGGGGGCGCUCUUUUGCCGAGUAAAAAUUCCUUCACAAAUGUGUUGAUGGCUGGACAUUGCAUCAUCCUAGAAAACUUGGAGGCCAGUGGGGACAAAAAUAAAAAGUUAUAAGACUUUUAAAUAUGUGGAUUUUAGGGUUAUCUUUGGCGCCCCCUAGAACCUAAACCGUGGGGUGCAGCGUCAUGAUUUGAAUAACUUUUAAUGGCCAUGGGGUGUAGAUUGGCCUGAGCAAAUCCGGUGCCGGUGGAACGAAAGCCUUCGGAGGAGUUAGCGAAAUUCCAAUGUGUGCGGAUCGGCAAAAAAUGCGGAAUAACCCUUUAACCGUACAUUUGACAGAUACGCGCGCAUUGACUUUUUCGUAGAUCUUAUUGAGAUACACGUGUGUGUCAAUUUUUGUGUCAUUUUGCCAAAGCGUACAGGUGUUACACUCAACAAUGUGUAUUUUCACCUUAGGGGACAAGAAAAAAUGGACUUUUUUCUCCUGCCAUGGGGGGCGCUCUUUUGGGGAGUAAAAAUUCCUUCACAAAUGUGUUGAUGGCUGGACAUUGCAUCAUCCUAGAAAACUUGGAGGCCAGUGAGGGCAAAAAUAAAAAGUUAUAAGACUUUUAAAUAUGUGGAUCUUAGGGUUAUCUUUGGCGCCUCCUAGAACCUAAACCGUGGGGUGCAGCGUCAUGAUUUGAAUAACUUUUAAUGGCCAUGGGGUGUAGAUUGGCCUGAGCAAAUGUGGUGCCGGUGGAACGAAAGCCUUCGGAGGAGUUAGCGAAAUUCCAAUGUGUGCGAAUCUGCAAAAAAUGCGAAAUAACCCUUUAACUGUACAUUUUACAGAUACGUGGCCAUUGACUUUUUCGAAGAUCUUAUUGAAAUACACGUGUAUGUAAAAUUUUGUGUCAAUACGACAAAACAUACAGGCGUAGCACUCAACAAUGUGUAUUUUCACCUUAGUGGACAAGAAAAAAUUGACUUUUUUCUCCUGCCAUGGGGGGGCGCUCUUUUGCCGAGUAAAAAUUCCUUCACAAAUGUGUUGAUGGCUGGACAUUGCAUCAUCCUAGAAAACUUGGAGGCCAGUGGGGACAAAAAUAAAACGUUAUAAGACUUUUAAAUAUGUGGAUUUUAGGGUUAUCUUUGGCGCCCCCUAGAACCUAAACUGUGGGGUGCAGCGUCAUGAUUUGAAUAACUUUUAAUGGCCAUGGGGUGUAGAUUGGCCUGAGCAAAUGUGGUGCCGGUGGAACGAAAGCCUUCGGAGGAGUUAGCGAAAUUCCAAUGUGUGCGGAUCGGCAAAAAAUGCGGAAUAACCCUUUAACCGUACAUUUGACAGAUACGCGCGCAUUGACUUUUUCGUAGAUCUUAUUGAGAUACACGUGUGUGUCAAUUUUUGUGUCAUUUUGCCAAAGCGUACAGGUGUUACACUCAACAAUGUGUAUUUUCACCUUAGGGGACAAGAAAAAAUGGACUUUUUUCUCCUGCCAUGGGGGGGCGCUCUUUUGGGGAGUAAAAAUUCCUUCACAAAUGUGUUGAUGGCUGGACAUUGCAUCAUCCUAGAAAACUUGGAGGCCAGUGAGGGCAAAAAUAAAAAGUUAUAAGACUUUUAAAUAUGUGGAUCUUAGGGUUAUCUUUGGCGCCUCCUAGAACCUAAACCGUGGGGUGCAGCGUCAUGAUUUGAAUAACUUUUAAUGGCCAUGGGGUGUAGAUUGGCCUGAGCAAAUGUGGUGCCGGUGGAACGAAAGCCUUCGGAGGAGUUAGCGAAAUUCCAAUGUGUGCGGAUCGUCAAAAAAUGCGAAAUAACCCUUUAACCGUACAUUUGACAGAUACGCCCGCACUGACUUUUUUGUAGAUCUUAUUGAGAUACAUGUGUGUGUCAAUUUUUGUGUCAUUUUGACAAAGCGUACAGGCGUGACAGUGAAUAGUGUGAAUUUUCACCUUAGGGGGCGCUAUGGAGCCAUUUUGCAUUUUCUUGUUUGGGCGACUUCGGAAUAUCAAAUUUUUCACCAGGCCCGGUCGUCCUGCCAAAUUUCAUGAGUUUUCGCCAGUGGGAAGUGGGCCAUUUUCCAGUUCAAAGGGGAGGAAAAAUAAUAACUAGGGCCCCGUUGGGGCACUGGCGGGCCCGAGCCGUGUCGCGCUGCCCCCCCCAACGCGCUGCCUCCCCGUCCCAUUCGCGUCCUCUGGCCAUCGUCCUCUCUGGUAACGCCCAUCACUGCAAAGACCCUUUCCUUCAUCGGCGUUUGCUGUUCUUCCUGCCAGUGCGUGUUGCUUUCACUUACACUUGCCACAGCCAGCCUCGUGAGUGCCUAGCCUAUUGGAUAUCACUGUCAUCUACACAGGACAGUCAUAACCUUUCUAUUAAUACUUUGUUUUUUAAUUUCACAUUAAUUUCCAUAUUGUAUAAAUGACUGGAAAAAACUUGAGCCCCUGCCCCUGUAUAAUCAUGUGCACGUCCCUGUUCUAGCUCCAAGGUGAAUCUUCACUGCUCAUGUUCUCCUCAGAAAUAGUCACCUCACUCCCCUCAGGUUACUGUACACAUGCACCAACUAUCUGCUUCAGGUUUGGAUGGAGCUUCAUGGUUGUCUUUUGGAGAAAUGACCAGUCAAGUUGUGUUUGAAAUUUGAUUUUUUUCAGGGGCAAAAGGAAGCCUCUGCAUUCUUGUCAAAUAUGUAAACAGCAUGUUUUUGCAGGUGCUAAAAAACAGACUCUGAGUGUGUGUGUGUGUGUGUCUGUGUGUGUGUGUGUGUUGGCGUGUGUGUAUAUGUGUGUGUAUCCUGCAGUACUCUGUACUCCUGCAGUGGCCAAAAAGACUUUUAAGAAUGUGGAUUUUUGGGUCAUCUUUGGCGCCCCCUAGAACUGCAGUACUCUGUACUCCUGCAGUGGCCAAAAUGACUUUUAAGAAUGUGGAUUUUUGGGUCAUCUUUGGCGCCCCCUAGAACGUAAACCGUGGGGUGCAGCGUCAUGAUUUUUACAACUUUGAAUGGGCAUGGGGUGUAGAUUGCCCUGAGCAAAUUUGGUAUCAGUGGGACGAAAGCCUUAGGAGGAGAUAGCCACAUUCCAAUGUGUGCGAAUCGGCAAAAAAUGCGAAAUAGCCCUUUAACCGUACAUUAUACAGAUACGCGCUCUUUGACUUUUUCGUAGAUCUAAUUGAGAUACACAUGAUUGUCAAUUUUUGUGUCAAUAUGACAAAGCGUUCAGGCGUGACACUCAACAAUGUGUAUUUUCAUGUAAGGGGACAAGAAAAAAUUGACUUUUUUCUCCUGCCAUGGGGGGCGCUCUUUUGGGGAGUAAAAAUUCCUUCACAAAUGUGUUGAUGGCUGGACAUUGCAUCAUCCUAGAAAACUUGGAGGGCAGUGAGGACAAAAAUAAAAAGUUAUAAGACUUUUAAGAAUGUGGAUUUUUGGGUUAUCUUUGGCGCCCCCUAGAACCUAAACCGUGGGGUGCAGCGUCAUGAUUUGUACAACUUUUAAUGGCCAUGGGGUGUAGACUGGCCUGAGCAAAUGUGGUGCCGGUGGAACGAAAGCCUUCGGAGGAGUUAGCGAAAUUCCAAUGUGUGCGGAUCGGCAAAAAAUGCGAAAUAACCCUUUAACCGUACAUUUGACAGAUACGCCCGCACUGACUUUUUUGUAGAUCUUAUUGAGAUACAUAUGUGUGUCAAUUUUUGUGUCAAUAUGACAAAACGUACAGACGUGACAGUCAAUAGUGUGAAUUUCCACCUUAGGGGGCGCUAUGGAGCCAUUUUGCAUUUUAUUGUUUGGGCGACUACAAAAUAUCGAAUUUUUCACCAGGCCCGGUCGUCCUGCCAAAUUUCAUGAGUUUUCGCCAGUGGGAAGUGGGCCAUUUUCCAGUUUAAAGCGGAGGAAAAAUAAUAAUAACUAGGGCCCCGUUGGGGCACUGGCGGGCCCGAGCCGUGUCACGCCGCCCCCAGCACGACCGCCUCCCCCACCCGAUCGCGUCACACUCAAGGUCCAAAGAUGGUGUGCGCACUUGUUUGUGGUCAUUUACCAUUAAAAUGAACGGGAGGCGCAGUUUCUACCAAAACGCUCGCUGCAGAAAAAGUCCAUGUCCUAUUUGAAAAAAGUCUGGACCAUGAGUGAGGGCACAAACACAGCUAAGAUAUAUCCAAAUGGCAAGUUGCUCCUCCUUUCGCUUUUGCCGAGAGAGCAGUGCGUUUGAGCCAUUGAAUGAUGAACAGGAAAAACUUGACUUUAUUCUCCUGCCAUGGGGGGGCGCUCUUUUAACGAGAAAAAACUCCUUCACAAAUGUGUUGAUGGCUGGACAUUGCAUCAUCCUAGAAAACAUGGAGGCCAGUGAGGACAAAAAUAAAAAGUUAUAAGACUUUUAAAUAUGUGGAUUUUUGGGUUAUCUUUGGCGCCCCCUAGAACCUAAACCGUGGGGUGCAGCGUCAUGAUUUGUACAACUUUUAAUGGCCAUGGGGUGUAGACUGGCCUGAGCAAAUGUGGUGCCGGUGGAACGAAAGCCUUCGGAGGAGUUAGCGAAAUUCCAAUGUGUGCGGAUCGGCAAAAAAUGCGAAAUAACCCUUUAACCGUACAUUUGACAGAUACGCCCGCACUGACUUUUUUGUAGAUCUUAUUGAGAUACAUAUGUGUGUCAAUUUUUGUGUCAAUAUGACAAAACGUACAGACGUGACAGUCAAUAGUGUGAAUUUCCACCUUAGGGGGCGCUAUGGAGCCAUUUUGCAUUUUAUUGUUUGGGCGACUACAAAAUAUCGAAUUUUUCACCAGGCCCGGUCGUCCUGCCAAAUUUCAUGAGUUUUCGCCAGUGGGAAGUGGGCCAUUUUCCAGUUUAAAGCGGAGGAAAAAUAAUAAUAACUAGGGCCCCGUUGGGGCACUGGCGGGCCCGAGCCGUGUCACGCCGCCCCCAGCACGACCGCCUCCCCCACCCGAUCGCGUCACACUCAAGGUCCAAAGAUGGUGUGCGCACUUGUUUGUGGUCAUUUACCAUUAAAAUGAACGGGAGGCGCAGUUUCUACCAAAACGCUCGCUGCAGAAAAAGUCCAUGUCCUAUUUGAAAAAAGUCUGGACCAUGAGUGAGGGCACAAACACAGCUAAGAUAUAUCCAAAUGGCAAGUUGCUCCUCCUUUCGCUUUUGCCGAGAGAGCAGUGCGUUUGAGCCAUUGAAUGAUGAACAGGAAAAACUUGACUUUAUUCUCCUGCCAUGGGGGGGCGCUCUUUUAACGAGAAAAAACUCCUUCACAAAUGUGUUGAUGGCUGGACAUUGCAUCAUCCUAGAAAACAUGGAGGCCAGUGAGGACAAAAAUAAAAAGUUAUAAGACUUUUAAAUAUGUGGAUUUUAGGGUUAUCUUUGGCGCCCCCUAGAACCUAAACCGUGGGGUGCAGCGUCAUGAUUUGAAUAACUUUUAAUGGCCAUGGGGUGUAGAUUGGCCUGAGCAAAUGUGGUGCCGGUGGAACGAAAGCCUUCGGAGGAGUUAGCGAAAUUCCAAUGUGUGCGAAUCUGCAAAAAAUGCGAAAUAACCCUUUAACCGUACAUUUUACAGAUACGUGGCCAUUGACUUUUUCGAAGAUCUUAUUGAAAGACACGUGUAUGUAAAAUUUUGUGUCAAUACGACAAAACAUACAGGCGUAGCACUCAACAAUGUGUAUUUUCACCUUAGUGGACAAGAAAAAAUGGACUUUUUUCUCCUGCCAUGGGGGGCGCUCUUUUGGCGAGUAAAAAUUCCUUCACAAAUGUGUUGAUGGCUGGACAUUGCAUCAUCCUAGAAAACUUGGAGGCCAGUGGGGACAAAAAUAAAAAGUUAUAAGACUUUUAAAUAUGUGGAUUUUACGGUUAUCUUUGGCGCCCCCUAGAACCUAAACCGUGGGGUGCAGCGUCAUGAUUUGAAUAACUUUUAAUGGCCAUGGGGUGUAGAUUGGCCUGAGAAAAUGUGGUGCCGGUGGAACGAAAGCCUUCGGAGGAGUUAGCGAAAUUCCAAUGUGUGCGGAUCGGCAAAAAAUGCGGAAUAACCCUUUAACCGUACAUUUGACAGAUACGUGCGCAUUGACUUUUUUGUAGAUCUUAUUGAGAUACAUGUGUGUCUCAAUUUUGGUGUCAUUUUGCCAAAGCGUACAGGUGUUACACUCAACAAUGUGUAUUUUCACCUUAGGGGACAAGAAAAAAUGGACUUUUUUCUCCUGCCAUGGGGGGCGCUCUUUUGGGGAGUAAAAAUUCCUUCACAAAUGUGUUGAUGGCUGGACAUUGCAUCAUCCUAGAAAACUUGGAGGCCAGUGAGGGCAAAAAUAAAAAGUUAUAAGACUUUUAAAUAUGUGGAUCUUAGGGUUAUCUUUGGCGCCCCCUAGAACCUAAACCGUGGGGUGCAGCGUCAUGAUUUGAAUAACUUUUAAUGGCCAUGGGGUGUAGAUUGGCCUGAGCAAAUGUGGUGCCGGUGGAACGAAAGCCUUCGGAGGAGUUAGCGAAAUUCCAAUGUGUGCGGAUCGGCAAAAAAUGCGAAAUAACCCUUUAAACGUACAUUUGACAGAUACGCCCACACUGACUUUUUUGUAGAUCUUAUUGAGAUACAUGUGUGUGUCAAUUUUUGUGUCAUUUUGACAAAGCGUACAGGCGUGACAGUGAAUAGUGUGAAUUUUCACCUUAGGGGGCGCUAUGGAGCCAUUUUGCAUUUUCUUGUUUGGGCGACUUCGGAAUAUCAAAUUUUUCACCAGGCCCGGUCGUCCUGCCAAAUUUCAUGAGUUUUCGCCAGUGGGAAGUGGGCCAUUUUCCAGUUCAAAGGGGAGGAAAAAUAAUAAUAAUAACUAGGGCCCCGGUGGGGCACUGUCGGGCCCGAGCCGCGUCGCGCCGCCCCCAGCGCGACCGCCUCCCCCUCCCGAUCGCGUCACACUCAAGGUCCAAAGAUGGUGUGCGCACUUGUCUGUGGUCAUUUCCCAUUAUAAUGAAUGGGAGGCGCAGUUUCUACCAAAACACUCGCUGCAGACAAACUUCAUGUCCUAUUUGAAAAAAGUCUGGACCAUGAGUGAGGGCACAAACACAGCUAUGAUAUAUCGAAAUGGCAGGUUGCUCCUCCUUACGGUGUUGCCUGGAGAGCGAUGCGAUUGAGCCAUUGAGCGAUGGGCAGGGUUAACUUGACUUUUUCUCCUGCCUUGGGGGGGAUGUGGAUUCCUUUAAGAAUGUGGAUUUUUGGGUCAUCUUUGGCGCCCCCUAGAACGUAAACCGUGGGGUGCAGCGUCAUGAUUUUUACAACUUUGAAUGGCCAUGGGGUGUAGAUUGGCCUGAGCAAAUUUGGUGUCAGUGGGACGAAAGCCUUAGGAGGAGUUAGCCACAUUCCAAUGUGUGCGAAUCGGCAAAAAAUGCAAAAUAGCCCUUUAACCGUACAUUUGACAGAUACGCGCGCAUUGACUUUUUUGUAGAUCUUAUUGAGAUACAUAUGUGUGUCAAUUUUUGUGUCAAUAUGAUAAAGCGUACAGGCGUGACAGUCAAUAGUGUGAAUUUCCACCUUAGGGGACAAGAAAAAAUUGACUUUUUUCUCCUGCCAUGGGGGGGCGCUCUUUUGGGGAGUAAAAAUUCCUUCACAAAUGUGUUGAUGGCUGGACAUUGCAUCAUCCUAGAAAACUUGGAGGCCAGUGAGGACAAAAAUAAAAAGUUAUAAGACUUUUAAAUAUGUGGAUUUUAGGGUUAUCUUUGGCGCCCCCUAGAACCUAAACCGUGGGGUGCAGCGUCAUGAUUUGAAUAACUUUUAAUGGCCAUGGGGUGUAGAUUGGCCUGAGCAAAUGUGGUGCCGGUGGAACGAAAGCCUUCGGAGGAGUUAGCGAAAUUCCAAUGUGUGCGGAUCGGCAAAAAAUGCGGAAUAACCCUUUAACCGUACAUUUGACAGAUACGCGCGCAUUGACUUUUUCGUAGAUCUUAUUGAGAUACAUGUGUGUGUCAAUUUUUGUGUCAUUUUGCCAAAGCGUACAGGUGUUACACUCAACAAUGUGUAUUUUCACCUUAGGGGACAAGAAAAAAUGGACUUUUUUCUCCUGCCAUGGGGGGGCGCUCUUUUGGGGAGUAAAAAUUCCUUCACAAAUGUGUUGAUGGCUGGACAUUGCAUCAUCCUAGAAAACUUGGAGGCCAGUGAGGGCAAAAAUAAAAAGUUAUAAGACUUUUAAAUAUGUGGAUCUUAGGGUUAUCUUUGGCGCCCCCUAGAACCUAAACCGUGGGGUGCAGCGUCAUGAUUUGAAUAACUUUUAAUGGCCAUGGGGUGUAGAUUGGCCUGAGCAAAUGUGGUGCCGGUGGAACGAAAGCCUUCGGAGGAGUUAGCGAAAUUCCAAUGUGUGCGGAUCGGCAAAAAAUGCGAAAUAACCCUUUAACCGUACAUUUGACAGAUACGCCCGCACUGACUUUUUUGUAGAUCUUAUUGAGAUACAUGUGUGUGUCAAUUUUUGUGUCAUUUUGACAAAGAGUACACGCGUGACAGUCAAUAGUGUGAAUUUUCACCUUAGGGGGCGCUAUGGAGCCAUUUUGCAUUUUCUUGUUUGGGCGACUUCGGAAUAUCAAAUUUUUCACCAGGCCCGGUCGUCCUGCCAAAUUUCAUGAGUUUUCGCCAGUGGGAAGUGGGCCAUUUUCCAGUUCAAAGGGGAGGAAAAAUAAUAAUAAUAAUAACUAGGACCCCAUUGGGGCACUGGCGGGCCCGAGCCGUGUCGCGUCCCCCCACCCCCCCCACCCCCCCCAACGUGCUGCCUCCCCGUCCCAUUUGUGUCCUCUGGCCAUCGCCCUCUCUGUUAACGCCCAUCACUGCAAAGACCCUUUUCCUUCAUCGGCGUUUGCUGUUCUUCCUGCCAGUGCGUGUUGCUUUCACUUACACUUGCCACAGCCAGCCUCGUGAGUGCCUAGCCUAUUGGAUAUCACUGUCACCUACACAGGACAGUCAUUACCUUUCUAUUAAUACUUUGUGUUUUAAUUUCACAUUAAUUUCCAUAUUGUAUAAACGACUGGAAAAAACUUGAGCCCCUGCCCCUGUAUAAUCAUGUGCACGUCCCUGUUCUAGCUCCAAGGUGAAUCUUCACUGCUCAUGUUCUCCUCAGAAAUAGUCACCUCACUCCCCUCAGGUUACUGUACACAUGCACCAACUAUCUGCUUCAGGUUUGAAAUGGAGCUUCAUGGUUGUCUUUUGGAGAAAUGAACAGUCAAGUUGUGUUUGAAAUUUGAUUUUUUUCAGGGGCAAAAGGAAGCCUCUGCAUUCUUGUCAAAUAUGUAAACAGCAUGUUUUUGCAGGUGCUAAAAAACAGACUCUGAGUGUGUGUGUGUGUGUGUGUCUGUGUGUGUGUGUGUGUGUGUGUGUG